rnacentral:rRNA from 1 species
CUACCAUGCAGUCGAGCGGCAGCGGAAGUAGCUUGCUACUUUGCCGGCGAGCGGCGGACGGGUGAGUAAUGUCUGGGAAACUGCCUGAUGGAGGGGGAUAACUACUGGAAACGGUAGCUAAUACCGCAUAAUGUCGCAAGACCAAAGAGGGGGACCUUCGGGCCUCUUGCCAUCAGAUGUGCCCAGAUGGGAUUAGCUAGUAGGUGGGGUAACGGCUCACCUAGGCGACGAUCCCUAGCUGGUCUGAGAGGAUGACCAGCCACACUGGAACUGAGACACGGUCCAGACUCCUACGGGAGGCAGCAGUGGGGAAUAUUGCACAAUGGGCGCAAGCCUGAUGCAGCCAUGCCGCGUGUAUGAAGAAGGCCUUCGGGUUGUAAAGUACUUUCAGCGGGGAGGAAGGCGAUAAGGUUAAUAACCUUGUCGAUUGACGUUACCCGCAGAAGAAGCACCGGCUAACUCCGUGCCAGCAGCCGCGGUAAUACGGAGGGUGCAAGCGUUAAUCGGAAUUACUGGGCGUAAAGCGCACGCAGGCGGUCUGUCAAGUCGGAUGUGAAAUCCCCGGGCUCAACCUGGGAACUGCAUUCGAAACUGGCAGGCUAGAGUCUUGUAGAGGGGGGUAGAAUUCCAGGUGUAGCGGUGAAAUGCGUAGAGAUCUGGAGGAAUACCGGUGGCGAAGGCGGCCCCUGGACAAAGACUGACGCUCAGUGCGAAAGCGUGGGAGCAAACAGGAUUAGAUACCCUGGUAGUCCAACGCCGUAAACGAUGGUCGACUUGGA